rnacentral:rRNA from 1 species
GGAUCGGGGAAGAACUAACCAGGGAUUCCCCUAGUAACUGCGAGUGAAGCGGGAUGAGCUCAAAUUUUGAAUCUGGCGGCCCUCGUCGGUCGUCCGAGUUGUAAUCUAGAGAAGCGUCUUCCGCGCUGGACCGUGUACAAGUCUCCUGGAACGGAGCGUCGCAGAGGGUGAGAAUCCCGUCUAUGACACGGACUGCCAGGGCCUCGUGCGAUGCGCUCUCGACGAGUCGAGUUGUUUGGGAAUGCAGCUCAAAUCGGGUGGUAAAUUCCAUCUAAAGCUAAAUACGGGCGAGAGACCGAUAGCGAACAAGUACCGUGAGGGAAAGAUGAAAAGAACUUUGGAAAGAGAGUUAAACAGUACGUGAAAUUGCUGAAAGGGAAACGCUCCGAGUCAGUCGCGUCGGCCGGGGAUCGGUCCUGCGGACGAUCUCGUUCGCGGAGGCGCAUUCCACGGUCGACGGGUCAGCGUCGGUUUCGGCCGUCGCACAAGGGUCGGGGCGCACGUGGCAUCCCCAGGGGUGUGUUAUAGCCCCCGAUCGCAUGCGGCGAUUGGGACCGAGGAUCGCAGCGCGGGUCUCCCUUCGCGGGGAGGCCGCGAGGCCCCCACGGGGGCCUACGACCGCGCGCUUAGGACGCUGGCAUAAUGUCUCCGAGCGACCCGUCUUGAAACACGGACCAAGGAGUCUAACGCGCGCGCGAGUGUUCGGGUGCUUCAAACCCGAGCGCGCAGCGAAAACGAAAGUCGAGACCUCCGUCGCGGAGGGCACCGACGCCCGGACCCGAGCCUCGCGCGAGGGAUCUGCGGUCGAGCGCGCGCGUUGGGACCCGAAAGAUGGUGAACUAUGCCUGAAUAGGGCGAAGCCAGAGGAAACUCUGGUGGAGGCUCGCAGCGAUUCUGACGUGCAAAUCGAUCGUCGAAUUUGGGUAUAGGGGCGAAAGACUAAUCGAACCAUCUAGUAGCUGGUUCCCGCCGAAGUUUCCCUCAGGAUAGCAGAAGCUCGUCGCAUCAGAUUUAUGUGGUAAAGCGAAUGAUUAGAGGCCUUGGGGUCGCAACGACCUUAACCUAUUCUCAAACUUUGAAUACGUAAGGACGGGCCGUCUCUCGGUUGGACCGCUCGGCGAUUGAGAGCUUCUAGUGGGCCAUUUUUGGUAAGCAGAACUGGCGAUGCGGGAUGAACCGAACGCGAGGUUAAGGUGCCGGAAUGCACGCUCAUCAGACACCACAAAAGGCGUUAGUUCAUCCAGACAGCAGGACGGUGGCCAUGGAAGUCGGAACCCGCUAAGGAGUGUGUAACAACUCACCUGCCGAAUGAACUAGCCCUGAAAAUGGAUGGCGCUCAAGCGUGCUACCCAUACCUCGCCGUCGGCGUUCGAGCGACGCGCCGACGAGUAGGCGGGCGCGGAGGUCGUGAAGAAGCCCGCGCGGCGACGCCGGGACCCCCC